rnacentral:rRNA from 2 species
UACGUAGGUGGCAAGCGUUGUCCGGAUUUAUUGGGUUUAAAGGGUGCGUAGGUGGUCUAUUAAGUCAGUGCUGAAAUAUCCCGGCUUAACCGGGAGGGUGGCAUUGAUACUGAUGGACUUGAGUGGAGUUGAGGUAGGCGGAAUUGACGGUGUAGCGGUGAAAUGCUUAGAUAUCGUCAAGAACACCAAUAGCGAAGGCAGCUUACUAAGCUCUAACUGACACUGAUGCACGAAAGUGUGGGGAUCAAACAGG